CACCAACGAUCCUCAAUAAAAGGGACAAAUAUCGACACUUUGAAGACCCAUUUUCUUUAUCUCUUUCCCCCUACAACUCUCCUCCCUCUACUGCUCAUUAAACUAGAUAUCUUCAUGAAUGAUAAUAUCCUUGACAAAAGAGAUACUAUCUCUGAGAUAUGAAGAUAUCUCUGUCAAGGCUUCAUAAUUGAAGAUAUCCAGCAUUACAGAGAUACGAAGAUAUCUCUUUCAUACCAUCUUGAACGAUGCUUCAAUUUUAUCAUAUGUAACAGAUCAAAGACUUAAUAAACUUUCCUUUACCUUCCCGUGGAUGUAGGCUUAGCCGAACCACAUUAACUUGGUUGUGCUAUUGUCUCUUUAUUUCUCUGCAUCUUACAUUUUUGUUCAUAAUUUUCUAUUUACAUCUUAUUUUGCAUACUGCUAUAUCAUCUUAAUUAUUUGGUUGUGAACCUAAAAUAUGAUGUUCACACUACCACCUGCUGAAUCAUGCAUCAUCAAAUCUAUUUUUCAGGAGAAAGAAGAGAAGCUAGAAGGUGAUGCCGCUUUGAACAAGCUAUCCUCUGACAUAUACCGAUGAUGAUACCAAGCGUGCCUUGAGAAAAUAUUUUGUAAGUCUGAUCCAUGCCCAUUUGCUUUAUUUCAUGCAAAUAAGAUAGUUAUUUUAGUUUCCGCAUACAAAUUUAAGGCCAAGUGUAUUGAAUUUCUACAGUUGGAGUCAAACUGGACAUGUCCACAAACUGGAAAGAGGUGGGUGCCAAGGUGGAAACCAGUUCUCCAAUUGGUAUGGAAUUGAAGAAAUGGGAAUCCUGAAGAGUGUGAUAACUGCAGCACAUGAUAAGAUUGUCUCAGUUUUUCUAAGACAGAAAGAAUAUGAUUAGGUCGGAGAAAAAUUAACCUUUUACCAUGUAGCUAUUGAUUUUUCCACUUUAGUAAGUCAUGCAGUUUAUCAUUUGGACUGGGCCCAAAUUGAAAUGUUUAUUGUUCGUUGUUAGUGGGUAGUUCUACGACUUCUCUACCAAUUCUUGAUUAGAAUUCUAAAUUGUGCUAAAUUAUUUGUGCUUGUCAUAUAGUCUAUUUCCCUUCUCGGGAGAAUCAGAUGCCCAUGAAGGUGUGUAUGUGAAACUCGGCGUUCGGCGUGCAACGCACGUGCACUCUACUUGUGGAUGUAAAAAGGGUUGGGUUCACAUUCAAUUUGAAUUUACAGCGAUGCAAGAUAGAAAUUAGGGAUUUUAUAAACUGACACAGUGCUGGUAAGGUGUUUGAGAAUACUCGUAAAGAGGUGCAAAAGCUAAGAAAGGAGCUCCAUACGAUCAACAUCAACGAAACGGCAUCCAAAGUGCUUGAUAAAAAGACUGAAAGAAGAGAAAUGAAGUUAAAGGUUCUUAUCGUUUUCGUUACCUAGUAUAAUUUUGUAUGCACCUGAUGUUCAGUGGGUAUUUUGUGAAAUGGGUCUUAUAUUCUAUCAUGAUACCAGGAAGAUAGCUGGCGAUGUUCUUGAUUUGUUGCAAUGGUUAUGAAACAUAUUACACAGUAGACCUCGCAUUAGUACCCACCGUUCCUUCCAUUAUGACCAUUUGCUUUACCGGUUUGUGAAGUACAUCUUGUAGAUUCGUGUGUGUAAUUAGUUAGCUAACUACGUCUUGUAGAUCAUCUUA